UCCCCUGUGGUGUAAUAGGCAGCACUGAGGUUUUUGGUACCUUAAGUCCGGGUUCGAGUCCUGGCGGGGGAGC
rnacentral:tRNA from 1 species